rnacentral:rRNA from 1 species
AUUGAACGCUGGCGGAAUGCUUUACACAUGCAAGUCGAACGGCAGCACGGGGGCAACCCUGGUGGCGAGUGGCGAACGGGUGAGUAAUACAUCGGAACGUGCCCAGUCGUGGGGGAUAACUACGCGAAAGCGUAGCUAAUACCGCAUACGAUCUACGGAUGAAAGCGGGGGAUCGCAAGACCUCGCGCGAUUGGAGCGGCCGAUGGCAGAUUAGGUAGUUGGNGAGGUAAGGCUCACCAAGCCGUCGAUCUGUAGCUGGUCUGA